UUGAGAUGGCCUCUCGCCCUAUUCAGUGUAACAGCUGUGGUAGUGGGUUUGGUCGCUCGCAUUUAAAUUGGAAGGGUAAUGGUGGACCGCACUUCUCCCUUAGUAGGACGUUGCGACCUGUCAAAUAAUAUCCUAAGUAUUUGGCUAAUUUGUCUGUUUUUAGGCAGUACUGAAAGGUAUUUCCUUUAACAGUUUUAGCCGUUUACAUACUGGAUAUAAUUGACAGUAACGAAUCAUGGUGUUGAGCCACUUACUUUGUAAGUGUCCUUUAUGGCUGUUUGCAAGUGGGUUGGUUAAUUAGUUUUAGUCGGAUUUUGGUCCGUCUAACUAUUCCGCCUACUGUUGGUAAACUGUUCCUUGGACAGUGCUUAUAACACCGGUCGGCAGCGAUUCAGGUUCAGGCUCUUAUCCGACCCGUCUUGAAACACGGACCAAGGAGUUUAGCGUGUACGCAAGUCAUUGGGUGUAUAAAACCCAAAGGCGCA
rnacentral:rRNA from 1 species